CUUGCUCCCGGAUGUUAGCGGCGGACGGGUGAGUAACACGUGGGUAACCUGCCUGUAAGACUGGGAUAACUCCGGGAAACCGGAGCUAAUACCGGAUAGUUCCUUGAACCGCAUGGUUCAAGGAUGAAAGACGGUUUCGGCUGUCACUUACAGAUGGACCCGCGGCGCAUUAGCUAGUUGGUGAGGUAACGGCUCACCAAGGCGACGAUGCGUAGCCGACCUGAGAGGGUGAUCGGCCACACUGGGACUGAGACACGGCCCAGACUCCUACGGGAGGCAGCAGUAGGGAAUCUUCCGCAAUGGACGAAAGUCUGACGGAGCAACGCCGCGUGAGUGAUGAAGGUUUUCGGAUCGUAAAGCUCUGUUGUUAGGGAAGAACAAGUGCAAGAGUAACUGCUUGCACCUUGACGGUACCUAACCAGAAAGCCACGGCUAACUACGUGCCAGCAGCCGCGGUAAUACGUAGGUGGCAAGCGUUGUCCGGAAUUAUUGGGCGUAAAGGGCUCGCAGGCGGUUUCUUAAGUCUGAUGUGAAAGCCCCCGGCUCAACCGGGGAGGGUCAUUGGAAACUGGGAAACUUGAGUGCAGAAGAGGAGAGUGGAAUUCCACGUGUAGCGGUGAAAUGCGUAGAGAUGUGGAGGAACACCAGUGGCGAAGGCGACUCUCUGGUCUGUAACUGACGCUGAGGAGCGAAAGCGUGGGGAGCGAACAGGAUUAGAUACCCUGGUAGUCCACGCCGUAAACGAUGAGUGCUAAGUGUUAGGGGGUUUCCGCCCCUUAGUGCUGCAGCUAACGCAUUAAGCACUCCGCCUGGGGAGUACGGUCGCAAGACUGAAACUCAAAGGAAUUGACGGGGGCCCGCACAAGCGGUGGAGCAUGUGGUUUAAUUCGAAGCAACGCGAAGAACCUUACCAGGUCUUGACAUCCUCUGACAACCCUAGAGAUAGGGCUUUCCCUUCGGGGACAGAGUGACAGGUGGUGCAUGGUUGUCGUCAGCUCGUGUCGUGAGAUGUUGGGUUAAGUCCCGCAACGAGCGCAACCCUUGAUCUUAGUUGCCAGCAUUCAGUUGGGCACUCUAAGGUGACUGCCGGUGACAAACCGGAGGAAGGUGGGGAUGACGUCAAAUCAUCAUGCCCCUUAUGACCUGGGCUACACACGUGCUACAAUGGACAGAACAAAGGGCUGCGAGACCGCAAGGUUUAGCCAAUCCCACAAAUCUGUUCUCAGUUGGGAUCGCAGUCUGCAACUCGACUGCGUGAAGCUGGAAUCGCUAGUAAUCGCGGAUCAGCAUGCCG
rnacentral:rRNA from 1 species